UGGGAUUGUCCCGGUGCAAGCGGGGUACCAGCCACUUUGGCAAAUCCGGGUGGCAAUGGGAAGCCGUGAUGCGGAGUGAAAUAAAGUAACGAAGUCCGUGAGCCAUGCGUCAAGAAAAGCCGCUAUUGUUUAUACCGUACCCGUACCGUAAACCGACACAGGUGGAUGAGGAGAGAAUCCUAAGGCCGGCGGAAGAAGCAUUGUCAAGGAACUCGGCAAAAUGGCCCCGUAACUUAGGGAUAAGGGGUGCCUGGGAAACCAGGCCGCAGAGAAUAGGCUCAAGCAACUGUUUAGCAAAAACACAGGUCUAUGCGAAACCGAAAGGUGAGGUAUAUGGGCUGACGCCUGCCCGGUGCUGGAAGGUUAAGAGGAGAGGUUAGCGGUAACGCGAAGCUUUGAAUUUAAGCCCCAGUAAACGGCGGCCGUAACAAUAACGGUCCUAAGGUAGCGAAAUUCCUUGUCGGGUAAGUUCCGACCCGCACGAAAGGCGUAAUGAUUUGAGCGCUGUCUCGACAAUGCAUCCGGUGAAAUUGAAGUACCAGUGAAGAUGCUGGUUACCUGCGCCAGGACGGAAAGACCCCAUGGAGCUUUACUCCAGUCUGGUACUGGGACUCGGUAUUGCAUGUACAGGAUAGGUGGGAGGCUAGGAGAUGGUAACGCCAGUUGCCAUGGAGCCGCUGUUGGGAUACCACCCUUGCAGUAUUGGGUUUCUAACCAGCCGCCGUGACCCGGCGGUGGGACAAUGCCAGACGGGGAGUUUGACUGGGGCGGUCGCCUCCGAAAGGGUAUCGGAGGCGCCCAAAGGUUCCCUCAGAAUGGACGGAAACCAUUCGAAGAGUGCAAAGGCAGAAGGGAGCUUGACUGCGACACCGACGGGUGGAGCAGGUACGAAAGUAGGGCUUAGUGAUCCGGUGGUAUUAAGUGGGAAUGCCAUCGCUCAACGGAUAAAAGCUACCCUGGGAUAACAGGCUUAUCACUCCCAAGAGUUCACAUCGACGGAGUGGUUUGGCACCUCGAUGUCGGCUCAUCGCAUCCUGGGGCUGUAGUAGGUCCCAAGGGUUGGGCUGUUCGCCCAUUAAAGCGGUACGCGAGCUGGGUUCAGAACGUCGUGAGACAGUUCGGUCCCUAUCCGGCGUGGGAGUAGGAUAUCUGAGAGGAGCUGUCCUUAGUACGAGAGGACCGGGAUGGACGGGCCGCUGGUGCAUCGGUUAGACUGCCAAGUCUACGGCCGAGUAGCCAAGCCCGGAAGGGAUAAACGCUGAAGGCAUCUAAGCGUGAAGCCCCCCUUAAGAUGAGAUAUCCCAUUCGAAAGAAGUAAACCCCCUUGAAGACGACGAGGUAGAUAGGGCAGAGGUGGAAGUGUGGCAACACAUGGAGCU
rnacentral:rRNA from 1 species